rnacentral:rRNA from 1 species
CCAAUAGCGUAUAUUAAAGUUGUUGCAGUUAAAAAGCUCGUAGUUGAAUUUCGGGAUCAGUACGUUGGUCGUGCCCUCGGUACGUACUGGUGUUACUGGUUCCUACCUUCUGAGGAACCGUCAUGUCAUUAAUUUGGUGUGGUGGGAAAUCAGGACUGUUACUUUGAAAAAAUUAGAGUGUUUAAAGCAGGCUCGCGCUUGAAUACAUUAGCAUGGAAUAAUGAAAUAGGACGUUCGAUCCUAUUUUGUUGGUUUCUAGGAUUGACGUAAUGAUUAAUAGGGAUAGUUGGGGGCAUUAGUAUUCAAUUGUCAGAGGUGAAAUUCUUGGAUUUAUUGAAGACUAACUACUGCGAAAGCAUUUGCCAAGGAUGUUUUCAUUAAUCAAGAACGAAAGUUAGGGGAUCGAAGACGAUCAGAUACCGUCGUAGUCUUAACCAUAAACUAUGCCGACUAGGGAUCGGAUGAUGUUAUUUUUAAUGACUCAUUCGGCGCCUUACAG